rnacentral:rRNA from 1 species
UACGGAGGGUGCGAGCGUUGUCCGGAAUCAUUGGGCGUAAAGGGCGCGUAGGUGGCCGGGACAGCGUGCGGUGAAAGCUCGGGGCUCAACCCCGAGUCGGCCGUGCGAACUGCUUGGCUGAGCACUGUAGAGGCAGGCGGAAUUCCGGGUGUAGCGGUGGAAUGCGUAGAGAUCCGGAAGAACACCGGUGGCGAAGGCGGCCUGCUGGGCAGUGGCUGACACUGAGGCGCGACAGCGUGGGGAGCAACAGGAUUAGAAACCCUG